AACGCACCUUGCGCUCCUUGGUAUUCCGAGGAGCAUGCCUGUUUGAGUGUCAUUAAAUUAUCAACCGCUCUGAUUUAUUUUCGGAUGCGGAUUGGAUUUGGGAGCUGCAAGCUUUAUUUAAAAGCUGGCUCUCCUCAAAAGCAUUAGCUGGAACGUCUCUGUGAGCUGUCCCAUCGGUGUGAUAAUUAUCUACGCUAUGUGGUCAGUUUGCCUCGAAUGAGAACUCUGCUUCUAAUCGUCCUUUGGACAGCUUUUAUUACUUGACCUCAAAUCAGGUAGGACUACCCGCUGAACUUAA
rnacentral:misc_RNA from 1 species